GGGCUCUUAGCUCAGCGGGAGAGCGUCCCCUUGACAUGGGGAAGGUCACAGGUUCAAUCCCUGUAGAGCCCA
rnacentral:tRNA from 1 species